UACGUAGGCAGCGAGCGUUGCUCGGAGUUACUGGGCGUAAAGAGUGCGUAGGCGGUUUUCUAAGUUUGGUGUGAAAUCUCCCGGCUCAACUGGGAGGGUGCGCCGAAGACUGGAAGGCUUGAGUAUGGGAGAGGUAAGCGGAAUUCCUGGUGUAGCGGUGAAAUGCGUAGAUAUCAGGAGGAACACCUGCGGUGUAGACGGCUUACUGGACCAUAACUGACGCUGAGGCACGAAAGCGUGGGUAGCAAACAGG
rnacentral:rRNA from 1 species